rnacentral:lncRNA from 1 species
AAGGAGUUGCUGAAAUACGCGCGUGUUGGCGUUGCCAGCAUAAAAAUUAAGGGCGAAGUCACAGCGACAGAUAAUGAGUGCUUUAUCAGGGAAACCGUGUUGGACAAUCUCAUUGCUCAGAAAGAAUUUUUCAAAAGGAGCCUCAGGGCUUUGUUCCUUGCACUGGACGGGCCCCAGAGCUCUGAGUGCUGCCGCCAGAACCUGGCCCAGCACACUCAGACAGCCUCCCGGAAUAAAGGAGCAGCCUGCCAUCAUCACAGAGCCUCUUCUCUGUGCCCUGCCAAGCCGGGUGUGUGGAGACAGCGCUUAGAUCAAGUACUGACAGUACUGCUUUUACUCAAAGGGCUAAGAGUCUUUUCUUUUGAUGCUCAGACUGCCUGUGGAGGGAAUGCAGGAAUUUCUCUCUGCGUUUUGAAAGAAUGGCUCCCCGUAAGUGAGGGUGUUCUGUACGCUAUUAGUUUCCUUGCCGCUAACGUGUUUGAGAAACACAUCUUAUGUGUCUGCUUUCAGAAAGGAAGUGUGCUCAUGACAGCUUUUGUAGGUGAUUUUAGUGUUGAGAGAGGGCUUUUACACGGACUGUUCUCUCUGCUGCCACAGCCUUGGGCUUCUGUAGGCAGAACACAAGUCGUGAUUCCCAUUGUGCAGGUGAAGGAACAGAUUCGGGAAGGCUGUGGGUUGGGCUUCCAUCCCACAGGUGGUAAGCUCCGGAACCACAUCUGCCUUGGAGUCUUCCGACCCCAACAGAGCAGCAGACGCUGCCCGGCUCUUCCCCGCUGCCGCCCCUCGGGUCCAGGUACGCCUGGACUCUGUGAUGUAUCUCGUCCAGACAGCUUUCAGUCUAACUCCAGUGAUUACCAACUCAUGGAGCCUCACAUGUGCUGGAGAAACUUCAUCCCUCAAGGCACCCUCCGUGGCCCCAGGGCAGGGAUGGGCUUGGAGGGGAAGCCUGGAGCAGGGAACUCAGUCCUUGUCACCCAUAUGGUCUCAGGAACCCAGACAACUGAGUCACCACCUGCUACCUCCCAGAGUCUGCAUUAA